AUAAGGUCUGCAUACACCCUGUCAUUUCUACACCGCACUUGGUGGAAUUUAAAUGGAUAUAAAGAUGUUGUUUGUGUUUACUGCUUUAUUUCCAUUUAAUUUGACAUGCAGUAUCAAAUUGGGAAUUUUCAACUUUAUCUCCAUUUUUCGCAGCCUCCCUUCACUCUCUUCAGAGUUUCGGAGUUCAGCUCAGCGAAAAUGGUGAGUUUUUGCCAUCUUCACUCUUUUACCUUUCUCCUCAAGCCAUCCAUCAAUGGAGAAGGCGGUGCUUCUUCGCUCUCUUUCUUCCACUUCUACCCUUGCUUUGUCUAGAAUCUUCUCACACUUUUCACGUCUCCUCGCUUAUUACUCAGCUAAACGACAUCAUUUACGUCAAAAUCUUCACCACUGGCCUUCACUUCUCCGAAGCAAUAUUUGUGGCAUAUCGCAUUCAAUUCACUUAAAAAGACAAUUUUACCCUCACUCCAUUUGAGCUAUCGCUACUUCUGCUCCUUAAUCAUCUCAAGCUAUGUACUACGUACUAACAAUUUUACCCCUACUCCGUUUGAGCUAUCGCUACUUCCAUUUGUUGUUGCUGAUGAUGAAGUGGCUGAGAAAUUUGGAUUCGAGAAAGUGUAUGAGCAAUUUAUUGAUGAGUGUAAAUCUAAAGCUGUUUUGUAUAAACAUAAGAAAACUGGUGCUGAAGUAAUGUCAGUGUCCAAUGAUAAUGAGAAUAAACACUUCGGCGUUGUCUUCAGGACGCCUCCGAAAGAUUCUACUGGAAUUUCUCACAUUUUGGAACAUAGCGUACUGUGUGGUUCAAGAUAGUAUCCUUUGAAAGAACCUUUUGUUGAACUGUUGAAGGAAAGCUUGAACACUUUUCCGAAUGCAUUCACAUAUCUGGAUAGGAUAUGUUAUCCCAUGGUGUCAAUAAAUACAAAGGAUUUCUACAACCUGGUUGAUGUGUACUUAGAUGCUGUCUUUUUCCCUAAAUAUGUGGAGGAUUUCCAAACAUUUCAAUAAGAGGGUUGGCAUUAUGAACUUAAUGACCCCUCAGAAGACAUAACGUUUAAAGGUUUCCCCCAUAAGCCUCUUGAAUUAUCUUUUCCUUCUUGUGAUAUCUUCUUUUUCUUGUUUUUUAAUCAAUGCUCUCUAGUAGCUUCUUUGAAUAAUUCUUUUGUCUUCUUCUUUGAUCCUUACGGAUAAAGGAUAGUGGUGAAUCUACAACUUGUACCUAUAUAUCUUACAAAAGCUUUUAUGUAAAACUCAAGGGGUUAUCUUCAAUAAGAUGAAGAGAGUUUAUUCAAUCUAUUGGGCCGAAUUUCCCAGUAGGUACGAAAGACACACGUAUUAACUGUCUUGGUUUCUCUCUGUAUUAAUAUAGUCGUCAAACAUUUGUAUAAGGGCUGACAAACUGAUUAAUUGUUUAAAUAUUCUAAUUUCUUUGUGAGUAUGUGGAUAAGGUUGAUUGUUAUUACUUAAUGUUUUUAUUAGAUAUAACAGUUUUUAUUCAUUGGAUAUAAUUCAUGAUAAUAUGCUCUGGAAAUGUUGUCAAUGAUUGGAAUCCAAUUCUUAACUUUUCAAUAAUUUAAAAUACUCCCAGGUCCUAAUUAAAAGACGCUCACUGGAUUAGUUAAUAUGUUAUCACAUAUCAAGCAUGUGAUCACUAUAGAUGCUAACAAGGUUUAGAGCCUAGAGGCAAAAAGUAGUUUAGUGCAUGAGGUCAACAAAUAAAGUGGACUUGGAAGGAUAAAAGAACACUGAAUAACUAUGUGUGUUUAAAGAAAUGAUUCAUGAGUUUUAUAAGGUGAGUACUUUGUUUUAUAAUGCUAGAUUUUUUCUAAUUUCAUGCUCGGAAAGAAAGUGAUGGAAUGAUAAAUCAUGGUUCAAUUCAAAGAGCACAUCACAAAGAUGUGUACAUGGCUAAUAAUUCAUUUAAGAGGGGUAUAUGUAAUUUGAUGAUGGCAAUACACUUCAUAGGUUUCUUUAUUCAAAAGUGAUGCAUGGGUUUCUUCCACAAAAUAUAAGUAGUGCUAUAUUGUACUAGGCCAUUGUUUUUAAAAGUAGUGACUUAUGUCUUCCACAGACAUUUUUUCCUGAUAAUACCUAUGGUGUUGACAGUGGCGGUGACCCACAAGUAAUUUCUAGCCUUUCUUUUGAGGAAUUUAAGGUUGGUAGUUUCUUUCCCAUUAGUUUGCUUGUUCAUAUUACAAACUUCAAAAUAUGCACCUUACUAAAAAAAGAGAGAGAAAAACGAACAACUUCUAUUACAAUGUUUAUCCUCAUAACUUAAUUAUGUCAAUUCUUGGACUCUUCCCAUUGUUCAUAGUAUUUCUCAAUGUUUCUUGUCAUGGUUGUUGUGUUUAGUUAAAUUUGGAUGUUAUUGAAGAUUGUGUGCUAGAAUUGUUAUUCAUGGUGAGAAAGAGAUUUUAUCCAUUAGAACCCCAUUCCCGCAUCAGUAUAUUAGUCAUUUUCUUUUAGCCAGUAGUCAAUUUUUAUUACGUAAGGAGUUCAAGGGAAAAAAGGUUUUGACAUAAGCUAAAUAUUAUAACAACCCAAAAUAAUUAAGUAUGUUGUGAUCUACAAAAUGACAUGUCCUAUCAUGAAAAAGAAAUUGUUUCAAUUUUUUGAAACAAAAAAAAGAAAAGAGUGUCAUAUAAUAUGGAAUGAAGUGAGUUUUCCAAUUUCCUGCAUAGUAACUCAGUUGUUUUUUGUUUUAUGUUUGGUUUGUUGUCCCCUUUUUCCAUUUUAAUCCUGUCUUUUGUAAUUUAUUUAUGAAUACGCGUUAAUUCCUAUCCAAAUUUAUUAGAAGCCUGAAGAAAGUUUGGAAGAGGCUAUGGGAGGAGAAACAUGGAAGAAGAUCUGUAUUGAAGUCAGACAAGUUGUUUACCAUAGCUCUCAUCCAUGGCCUGACAAUGUUCUGAAAUAGAUUGUGGUUUCGGUUUCCUUCCAUUCCUUUAGUACUUCUUAUUUUAUUUGCUUCAUACACCUAGCUUUUUUUAUUAUGUAAGUUAAAUAUGCAAUUAAUGUUUAAAUGAACUUGGUACUACUUGCUUUUAUUAGGGGGAUGGGGAAGGGUAGUUGUCGUAGGAUGUUGAUUGGAUUUUCCUCUGCUACUCUUUGUAGAUUAUUGAUGUUCUGGAACUAUUUUAAGGAUAAACCAUGCCUCUCUCUUGUGCUGAAGUGAAUUCUUUUACUUUUCCAUCUGCAACACAGGGCGCUAUCAUAAUUUCUUUAGCUUUUAAGCAAUUCUUGGAUACAGUGGUCUGAUGUCAGUAUUGGUGAGGUAAAAAAUUCUUGUCCAACAUUUCUAUGUAUUCUUCUCUGUUGUCUUGACCUACGUUGCAUGAACUCUUCACUUUUGAUGCCGCACCUAAGUUGGAUUCUCCAAAAAUACACAGCUUUUUGGAGAAUCCGACACGCACCCGCUGACAAUUUUGGGGAGUCCGAGCAACACAGGUCUUGACUAUAUAUGCUUUCAUAAUUACACAACUAAUAUUUAUAGCGUCAUGGAUGCUAACUACUCCAUGCUUUCUGUUUUUGAGAUAGUCCAGUAUCAUAGAGUACUACUGUUUCUUCUCCCUGGUGCUAAAAUCUGUAAGUCAUUUUGAUAUGCUUUACUUGAGCUGAGGGUCUACCAAAAAUAGCUUCUCUACCUUCUCAAGGUAGGAGUAAGGCUGCGUACACGUUACCUUCCCCAAACUACUGGGUUGGUUGUUGUACUCUGCUAUAUGACUUUGUGCAGUCAUAGUCUCAUAGAUUCUAUGUAACUAAUAGCCGAACUUUCUUUCCCAAUAUAAUCAUGUGUAGUCUAAUCAUUGAGCGAGCGACCUCAAAGGUGUGUUAAUGGUCGGUACAUGAUAGAAGAUCCAUUCAAGUUGAGGUUGCAAAAUGGGUUAAUGAGUGAAAAAUGAAUGACCUUAUUCACUUGUCACUCAUUUACUAAUUACGGCUCUUUACACCCAAUAAUAACACUUUUUUCUUCCAAUGAGUGAUGGCAAAGAUUCCGAAGACUAAAUUUGUUGUAGGUCUUCAAAAAAGAUUGAUGUUGUUUCUCCAUUCUAGAAUUAGCCAACAACAAUGUGCACCAGGUUACCCUAUCCACUCUACACCACAAUAUUAGCAUCACCUUUUAUUUUUGGAAUGGGUAACUUUGUCUUCCUAUCCUGGUCCCUCCACAAUAUUAGCAUCUCCUUGAGCUGUUGCAUCUACCGUUUCCUACGAAGAGUGGGUGUAACAUCGGAUGUGGCUGUAAAUGUAGUCUGAUAAUACAAGUAUAAUAGGUAAGCUACUCUUUUUACUGGUGAGAAGAAGUUUGUGUUAUACUGAUUUGUGCAUAAAUAGAUGAAGUUUCCAAGUUUAGGUGAAGCAGCUGGAGGACAUAUUAAUUUAGAUGGUCAUUAAAUUUUUAUUCUUCUUUCAACAACCUAUUUCAAGAUUGCCAUCUUGAAAAUUCCAGUAGCAAAGCAGUGUAAAUCUUCAUGAAUGCUCGAGAGAUUGAUCACAACAACAACUGCAUCCCCUAUUGUAGAAUUUAUAAAUAUUAUCUCUAGCAAUGUAAAUAGCCAACAAUCACUAUCAUAUGUAAAUAUGAGCAUCCAGUAGUAUGUUAGUCCCAUGAUUGUAUAAAACAUAUAUUUGGAAUCAUUUCGAUCAACUGAUCCAAUCAAACGAGAUAGUCCC